rnacentral:rRNA from 1 species
CCUACGGGGAGCUGCAGUGAGGAAUAUUGGUCAAUGGCCGGAAGGCUGAACCAGCCAAGCCGCGUGAAGGACGAAGGUGCCAAGCAUUGUAAACUUCUUUUGUCAAGGGACAAAAUCAGGCUCGAGAGCCUGACCGAGGGUACUUGAAGAAAAAGCAUCGGCUAACUCCGUGCCAGCAGCCGCGGUAAUACGGAGGAUGCGAGCGUUAUCCGGAUUUAUUGGGUUUAAAGGGUGCGUAGGCGGACUGUUAAGUCAGCGGGAAAAGCCCGGGGCUCAACCCCGGCGAGCCGUUUAAACUGGCUGUCUUGAGAUGUCGAGAGGUAUGCGGAAUGCGCAGUGUAGCGGUGAAAUGCUUAGAUAUUGCGCAGAACUCCGAUUGCGAAGGCAGCAUACCGGCGGCGAUCUGACGCUGAGGCACGAAAGCGUGGGUAUCGAACAGGAUUAGAUACCCCAGUAGUC